rnacentral:tRNA from 1 species
GGGUCGUUGGCUGAACGGUUUAAGCGCCGGACUGUUAAUCCGUAUCCGCAAGGAUAAAGUAGGUUCGACUCCUACACGGCCCGCCA